rnacentral:rRNA from 1 species
GACGAACGCUGGCGGCGUGCCUAAUACAUGCAAGUAGAACGCUGAAGGAGGAGCUUGCUUCUCAGGAUGAGUUGCGAACGGGUGAGUAACGCGUAGGUAACCUGCCUGGUAGCGGGGGAUAACUAUUGGAAACGAUAGCUAAUACCGCAUAAUAGUAGAUGUUGCAUGACAUUUGCUUAAAAGGUGCAAUUGCAUCACUACCAGAUGGACCUGCGUUGUAUUAGCUAGUUGGUGGGGUAACGGCUCACCAAGGCGACGAUACAUAGCCGACCUGAGAGGGUGAUCGGCCACACUGGGACUGAGACACGGCCCAGACUCCUACGGGAGGCAGCAGUAGGGAAUCUUCGGCAAUGGACGGAAGUCUGACCGAGCAACGCCGCGUGAGUGAAGAAGGUUUUCGGAUCGUAAAGCUCUGUUGUAAGAGAAGAACGAGUGUGAGAGUGGAAAGUUCACACUGUGACGGUAUCUUACCAGAAAGGGACGGCUAACUACGUG